UAUCCUAAAGCCCCUACCCCUCUCUAACUCGUCUCUCUCACCUCACUUCAUCAUCUUCAGAGAACACCUCUGCCGGCCCAAAAUUCCUACCAUCUCCGGUGGCGGCGCCACCUCUAACCGGCCCCAAAUUAACACUAUAGACUCCUCUUAUCAUCCCCUUUCCCGAUUCCUAACUACUUUCCCUCAAAUUCCCCUAACCUUCUUCGAAUAUUAAAUCGAAAUUCUGAACUCUAAUAUCCCAAAUCCCAAAAUCAACAAGUUUAAUGAAGGUUGAGGCGGAAAUUGACCUUAUUCAUGUGUUUUCGUUUGAGAACACACAAUUAAGGCCCAUUUCGGUCAAAAUCGAAGGCUCGAGGAGUAAUUUCAGGAUUUUGUCUGCCUGGUUCUUAGGUACUUUCAGCUUCUCUUCCUCUCUUUCAUUUUUUCUUCUUCUUUUUUCGUUUAAGUUCCAGUCUUCAUCUUCUCCUGCUUCGUCUUUUCUGUUUUGUUUUUCAUUUUGAAUCAGUUCUGCUCGUGUGUUUAAAAUUAAAGUUUGUUCAUGCAUGUCGUUUUAAUUUCUUUGUUCUUUUAUGUUAUUUCAUUUUUUCUGGUUUUUAAAGAAAUGAACUCUGAGUUUCUCUUGGUCAAUUCUAUCUAGCCCAGUAAUUCUAUAUGGGCUCUGUUAAUCAGAGACCUAAGGAAAAGGGACUCAAUACGGGUGGUAAGCCCAUUGGUUUGAGGCCGAACCUGGGUUCAAUUUGACCCAUAUCUAUUUGUUAUGUUGAAGUAAAUACAGAGGUCUUAAGGGUUAGUUUAGGAAUUCUAGGUUAGGGAAUCUCUUGUAACUGAAUGGGGAUGUUUCCUAGAAGGUGGGUUUGGGACUUCUUUGAAAAGCUGAUUUUUAAACUGAGGGUAUGAUAGCAAAAAUGAAAAUCUGAAAAGGAUAAAAUUGCAAAACUGAAUUCAUUUUUGGGCUGCACUAAGGCUUGCCUAUAAAGGAAUAGUUUCUUCUUUAGCAAGUCAGAUUUUGGAGAUAAAAAAAACACUAAAAAAGUGAAAAGAAACGGCAGAGUCUCUUUCAAGCUUUAAAACACUAAAAUUUUGUUGAAAUUUACUUUGGUUUCUGGGUUCUUUGUUUCUUUUGGUUCAUUAGAACUCCUGAAAAUUCAAAUUCGUGCGCCUGGGUAGAAAAUGGGUUGAGUUUGGGGUUUAAAAGUUUGGCUUGAGUUGCUGCUUUUGGGUUCUGUUUCAUUGCUGGUUCUAGGCUGAUUGCUACUGUUGUUGUUUGCUGAUUCUUCACUCUUUUUUGUUUCUCUUUUAAUUUUCAGGUAUUUCCUCUGAACCUUUGAAUGGAAAAUGAAGCUGUUAACGUGUCUUUUAUGUAUGGAAAAUCCGUGGUCUGUUUGAAAUGCAAUAACUCCACUGGUGUUUGAAGAUCAAUUUUUAUGUGUUUGCUUAAGUUUUUUAUUCUUUAGUUUUGUCUAUUUCUCCUACCUCUUUCUCAAAUGUCAUAGAUAUGUAGUAACAGAGGUUUUAGUAGUUUCAUAUGGAAGUAUUGAGUUUAUGCAAAACUUUAAAGCGUAACCAUGUUAAAUAGUGUAAUGUGGACUGUGUUAGAGCCUCUUUCUGCUAUGCAAUUCACCUGGACUGUCAUGGCAUAUUUUUUUGUAUUUAAAUAGUACUUGGUUUCAUGAAAUGGGUAAUUGACUAGAUCCUAAGCUAGUGGUCAGCUUUUACAGUUACUCUGGACAAGGAAAAUGGUUUGGUUUAUCACUUUAGGGGUUGAGCCAUGUAUAGAAUUACUCCUGGAUAUUUGUAAACAUGUUUAAUGUGAGAUUAUGGUUUAAAUUCGGCUUUGGUUUACUUAACAGUCUCAUGAAGUGUGAUUUUCUAUUAUAUGUAUUGAAAAGAGGCUCAAUUGAAGCUAAAAUUGCCUAUUGAGUUAGCUGGAAAUCGUUUGAACAUGAUUGCUGUGCAGUUUGUGUAUUGUUGAAAUCCAGUUGGGCUCAUGUUGAUGCUCUUAAUUUCUUUUGGAUACUUUUGCAUUCCAUGGAACUCGAUCUCGAGUCCAGCAUUCCCCAACCCCAAGUUCUUGAAAGAUUUGGGUUCAUUUAGGGCCCA
rnacentral:lncRNA from 1 species